rnacentral:misc_RNA from 1 species
AUUUUUAAUAGACAACCAAAAUUUGAGUGUCAUUCGUCGAGUUAUGGAACAAUAGCAACAGAAUUUUUGAACCAAGUUCCGCAAUUGGAUGCCAUCUUUGUUCCUGUGAGCGGUGGAGGAAUGGCAGCAGGAAUAGCAGUAGCAGCUAAAGCCAUCAAACCAGAUAUCAAGGAUUUAAGGAUAAACAGAAUAUUUAUAACACGAGUGAUGAUACUCGUUUUAAAAAGGGAAAGAAAGGAUCAAUAAUCAAUAGUGUUCAUCGUGGAACCGGAAGGAAAGAUGUGCGAAAAUUGUCUCAGAACAAGAAAACGUCUCUGGCCUGAGACACCACAGUUCUUGGACACGAUAGCUGACGGGCUGAUUAUACAACAAUUGGGUAAACGGACAUGGCCGAUCAUCCUUGAACUUGUAGAGAAAGAUGUUUUUACUGUGAAUGACGAGGAAAUUAUAAAAGCCAUGAAAUUCGUAUUUGAAAGAAUGAAGUUGGUGAUUGAGCCGGCGGCCGGGACAGGGGUAGCUGUCUUAUUGUCAGAGAAAUUUGCUUCCAUGGAUUCCAACCUGAGAAAUGUGGGAGUAAUUCUGUGUGGAGGCAAUGUUGAUAUUAACCAUCUACCUUGGUAUAAUAGAGCUUGUUGAUAUUUCGGAAAUUCGAUUCAUCUUCAUAGCUUUUAAAUUGUAAAACUUGCGCAAUUUUGUGUCUUAUUCAAAUAGAAAUGGGGAAAUGUCAAAGCAGAGAUAUGCAAAAUCCAUUACAUUUUUAUGUACAGUUACUAUAGAUCAGGGUCUUAUUGAUCAAAGCUGCAAUUUAAUGAAUUUUGCCAAGUUGUCUUGUAGUGAUAAAACGGACAUGCUUUGAAAUUAAAUCGUGAAGCAUUAAAAUCCCAGGUUUAAAGUAUCCAUGAAAUGAAUUAAGUAUCAUGUUGCUCUUUAGAACUUGAUAUAUUUUAAGUUAACUUUAAUUUUCUUUUAAAUUUCACAAAUAGAGUGCCAAACAAAGCUGUUUUUGAAUAUUUUUUAAACCAUUCAAGACCAAUUUUUAUUUUAAUCAGGGGCUCAAACUGUUUUGAUGAAAACCCCUCAAAUUAAUUAUUUAGGCGUUUAAAUCCUCAAAUUUCUUUAAAGAGACUGAGUCUUAUUAUUUCUACCCUAGAUAUUUUUACAAAACUUGCAUGUAAUUUUACUUCAAUGAUUUUUUUUUUCAGAUAAUUUUUUUUUAUUUACAACCCCGAUUUCCUAGGGGGCCAUUUUUGCCAUUUGUAUUUUUGCCCUAGGAAUUCCUUUUUCUUUCAAUUAUAUAUCCUGAAAACUAUUGUAACAUGUCAUCAAAUAAUGAAAUUUAAAAUAAAUGUUUACCUCGUGGUUUGGUCAAGGGAUAAUAUCAAAAACGAUUUCCUCAACAACAACAAAAAUAAUGGCAUAUAGCGGUAUAUAUCGGCAUAUAAAAAUCAUAUUUUACGGUAUAUCACUUUUAAAAUUAUAAAAUGUUUCUCUAAUAAUGAUCUGUCAAUAAAUUCUCAUUUUCAAAAUUCAUCGACGCUUCGAAUAAAUGAGUGAAUCUUACUUUUUUUCUUCAACUUGAUGCAUAGUUUACAAUACCGGUUAACGAUGUAAGUAAGUGCCAUGUAAGUAAGUGCCAUUUUAGCAUUUUACCCUAUUAAAGUAAUAAAAUAACAACUUAUGAACGAGUAAAGGUUAUAUAUAAUGCUCAUUUUGUAUAAAACACAUAACC